GAUGAACGCUGGCGGCGUGCCUAAUACAUGCAAGUCGAGCGAACGGACGAGAAGCUUGCUUCUCUGAUGUUAGCGGCGGACGGGUGAGUAACACGUGGAUAACCUACCUAUAAGACUGGGAUAACUUCGGGAAACCGUAGCUAAUACCGGAUAAUAUUUUGAACCGCAUGGUUCAAAAGUGAAAGACGGUCUUGCUGUCACUUAUAGAUGGAUCCGCGCUGCAUUAGCUAGUUGGUAAGGUAACGGCUUACCAAGGCAACGAUGCAUAGCCGGCCUGAGAGGGUGAUCGGCCACACUGGAACUGAGACACGGUCCAGACUCCUACGGGAGGCAGCAGUAGGGAAUCUUCCGCAAUGGGCAAAAGCCUGACGGAGCAACGCCGCGUGAGUGAUGAAGGUCUUCGGAUCGUAAAACUCUGUUAUUAGGGAAGAACAUAUGUGUAAGUAACUGUGCACAUCUUGACGGUACCUAAUCAGAAAGCCACGGCUAACUACGUG
rnacentral:rRNA from 1 species